AGGAUGAACGCUGGCGGUCUGCUUAACACAUGCAAGUCGAACGGAGUACCUCGGUACUUAGUGGCGGACGGGUGAGUACCACGUGGGUCAUCUACCGUGAGGUGAGGAAUACCGGCGAGAAAUCGCCGACAAGACCGCAUAGCCUCGGUGCAAGUCGAGGAAAGCUCUCUCGAGAGAGGGAGCGCCACACGAGGAGCCUGCGCCCGAUUAGCUAGCUGGUGGAGUAAUGGUUCACCAGGGCGACGAUCGGUAGCUGGUCUGAGAGGACGAUCAGCCACACUGGGAUUGAGAACGGCCCAGACUCCUACGGGGGGCAGCAGUGAGGAAUUUUCGUCAAUGGGGGCAACCCUGAACGAGCAACGCCGCGUGCAGGAAGAAGGUUUUCGGAUCGUAAACUGCUUUUCUCGGGGAAGAGAACGGACGGUACCCGAGGAAUCAGCCCCGGCUAACUACGUGCCAGCAGCCGC
rnacentral:rRNA from 1 species